rnacentral:rRNA from 1 species
AGAAUCAACGCUGGCGGCGUGCCUAACACAUGCAAGUCGAACGAGAAAGUGGAGCAAUCCAUGAGUAAAGUGGCGCACGGGUGAGUAACACGUGACUAACCUACCCUCGAGUGGGGAAUAACUUCGGGAAACCGAGGCUAAUACCGCAUAAAACCUAAGGGUCAAAGGAGCAAUCCGUUUGAGGAGGGGGUCGCGGCAGAUUAGUUAGUUGGCGGGGUAAUGGCCCACCAAGACGAUGAUCUGUAUCCGGCCUGAGAGGGCGCACGGACACACUGGAACUGAAACACGGUCCAGACUCCUACGGGAGGCAGCAGUGGGGAAUUUGCGCAAUGGGGGAAACCCUGACGCAGCAACGCCGCGUGGAGGAUGAAAUCCCUUGGGAUGGUAAACUCCUUUCGAUCGGGAAGAUAAUGACGGUACCGGAAGAAGAAGCCCGGCUAACUUCGCGCCAGCAGCCGC